AGUGGCGGACGGGUGAGUAACGCGUGGGCAACCUGGCCUGUACAGGGGGAUAACACUUAGAAAUAGGUGCUAAUACCGCAUAAGCGCACGGUUCCGCAUGGAACAGUGUGAAAAACUCCGGUGGUAUACGAUGGAUCCGCGUCUGAUUAGCCAGUUGGUGGGGUAACGGCCCACCAAAGCGACGAUCAGUAGCCGGCCUGAGAGGGUGAACGGCCACAUUGGGACUGAGACACGGCCCAAACUCCUACGGAAGGCAGCAG
rnacentral:rRNA from 1 species